rnacentral:rRNA from 1 species
GCAGUGGGGAAUAUUGCACAAUGGGCGAAAGCCUGAUGCAGCAACGCCGCGUGAGUGAUGAAGGUCCUAUGGACUGUAAAGCUCUGAUCUGGGGGAAGAUAAUGACGGUACCCCAGGAGAAAGCCCCGGCUAACUCCGUGCCAGCAGCCGCGGUAAUACGGGGGGGGCAAGCGUUAUCCGGAAUUAUUGGGCGUAAAGAGUGCGUAGGUGGUUUUCUAAGCGAGGGGUGAAAGGCAGUGGCUCAACCAUUGUUAGCCUUUCGAACUGGAUGACUUGAGUGCAGGAGGGGAAAGCGGAAUUCCUAGUGUAGCGGUGAAAUGCGUAGAUAUUAGGAGGAACACCGGUGGCGAAGGCGGCUUUCUGGACUGUAACUGACACUGAGGCACGAAAGCGUGGGGAGCAAACAGGAUUAGAUACCCUGGUAGUCCACGCCGUAAACGAUGAGCGCUAGGUGUCGGGGCCUAUAAAGCCUCGGUGCCGAAGUUAACGCAUUAAGCGCUCCGCCUGGGGAGUACGCACGCAAGUGUGAAACUCAAAGGAAUUGACGGGGACCCGCACAAGCAGCGGAGCAUGUGGUUUAAUUCGAAGCAACGCGAAGAACCUUACCAGGGCUUGACAUCCUGCUGACAGGCGUGUAACGGCGCCCUUCUUCGGACAGCAGUGACAGGUGGUGCAUGGUUGUCGUCAGCUCGUGUCGUGAGAUGUUGGGUUAAGUCCCGCAACGAGCGCAACCCUUGUCGUUAGUUGCCAUCAGGUUAUGCUGGGCACUCUAGCGAGACUGCCGGGGACAACUCGGAGGAAGGUGGGGAUGACGUCAAAUCAUCAUGCCCCUUAUGUUCUGGGCUACACACGUGCUACAAUGGCCGGUACAAUGGGAUGCAAUACGGCGACGUGGAGCAAAUCACCAAAACCGGUCCCAGUUCGGAUUGCAGGCUGAAACUCGCCUGCAUGAAGUCGGAGUUGCUAGUAAUCGUGAAUCAGAAUGUCACGGUGAAUACGUUCCCGGGUCUUGUACACACCGCCCGUCACACCAUGGAAGUUGGGGGCGCCCGAAGUAGGCAGUUUAAUAUGUUUCCUAAGGCGAAAUCAAU